UGGGGACUUUCACUUUCCAGCUCGAACGGUACAGGAAGAGCUUGCUGCUUUGCUGACGAGUGGCGGACGGGUGAGUCCUGUCAGUGAAACUGCCUGAUGGAGGGGGAUAACUACUGGAACCUUCUUCUAAUACCGCAUAACGUCGCAAGACCAAAGAGGGGGAUCUUUCUGGCCUUUUGCCAUCGGAUGUGCCCUUAUCUCUUA
rnacentral:rRNA from 1 species